rnacentral:piRNA from 1 species
UAGAAGCCACCGCCAAUUCGAAUCCCAAUU